UCCUGGCUCAGGAUGAACGCUGGCGGCGUGCCUAACACAUGCAAGUCGAACGAAGAUGCAUUUCAGAUCCUUUCGGGGUGACGAGAUGCAGACUUAGUGGCGGACGGGUGAGUAAUGUAUGAGCAACCUGCCUUCAAGAGGGGAAUAACAGUCGGAAACGACUGCUAAUACCGCAUAACAAAGCGUAGUCGCAUGACAAUGCUUUCAAAGGAGCAAUCCGCUUGAAGAUGGGCUCAUAUCUGAUUAGAUAGUUGGUGAGGUAACGGCUCACCAAGUCUGCGAUCAGUAGCCGGACUGAGAGGUUGAACGGCCACAUUGGAACUGAGAUACGGUCCAGACUCCUACGGGAGGCAGCAGUGGGGAAUAUUGGGCAAUGGGCGAAAGCCUGACCCAGCAACGCCGCGUGAAGGAAGAAGGUCUUCGGAUUGUAAACUUUUGUCUUAUGGGACGAUAAUGACGGUACCAUAGGAGGAAGCCACGACUAACUACGUGCCAGCAGUCGCGGUAAUACGUAGGUGGCGAGCGUUAUCCGGAAUUAUUGGGUGUAAAGGGUGCGUAGGCGGGUCGUAAAGUCAGAUGUGAAAUGCGGAGGCUCAACCUCCGAACUGCAUUUGAAACUUACGAUCUUGAGUGGAGUAGAGGCAAGCGGAAUUCCCGGUGUAGCGGUGAAAUGCAUAGAUAUCGGGAGGAACACCAGUGGCGAAGGCGGCUUGCUGGGCUUUUACUGACGCUGAGGCACGAAAGUGUGGGGAGCAAACAGGAUUAGAUACCCUGGUAGUCCACACC
rnacentral:rRNA from 1 species